rnacentral:rRNA from 1 species
AACGAACGCUGGCGGCAGGCCUAACACAUACAAGUCGAACGCUGUAGCAAUACAGAGUGGCAGACGGGUGAGUAACGCGUGGGAACAUGCCCUUCGGUUCGGAAUAACUCAGGGAAACUUGAGCUAAUACCGGAUACGCCCUUAGGGGGAAAGAUUUAUUGCCGAAGGAUUGGCCCGCGUCCGAUUAGCUAGUUGGUGAGGUAAUGGCUCACCAAGGCGACGAUCGGUAGCUGGUCUGAGAGGACGAUCAGCCACACUGGGACUGAGACACGGCCCAGACUCCUACGGGAGGCAGCAGUGGGGAAUAUUGGACAAUGGGCGCAAGCCUGAUCCAGCCAUGCCGCGUGAGUGAUGAAGGCCCUAGGGUUGUAAAGCUCUUUCGCCAGGGACGAUAAUGACGGUACCUGGAUAAGAAGCCCCGGCUAACUUCGUGCCAGCAGCCGCCGUAAUAC